rnacentral:rRNA from 1 species
UACGUAGGGCGCAAACGUUGUUCGGAAUCACUGGGCGUAAAGAGCGCGUAGGCGGCCAUACAGGUCCGUUGUGAAAACUGGAGGCUCAACUUCCAGACGUCGACGGAAACCGUGUGGCUAGAGUCCGGAAGAGGAGAGUGGAAUUCCCGGUGUAGCGGUGAAAUGCGCAGAUAUCGGGAAGAACACCCGUGGCGAAGGCGGUUCUCUGGGAAUAUCCUGACGCUGAGGAGCGAAAGUGUGGGGAGCGAACAGG